AGUGAACGCUGGCGGUAGGCCUAACACAUGCAAGUCGAACGGCAGCACAGUAAGAGCUUGCUCUUACGGGUGGCGAGUGGCGGACGGGUGAGGAAUACAUCGGAAUCUACUUUUUCGUGGGGGAUAACGUAGGGAAACUUACGCUAAUACCGCAUACGACCUACGGGUGAAAGCAGGGGAUCUUCGGGCCUUGCGCGAUUGAAUGAGCCGAUGUCGGAUUAGCUAGUUGGCGGGGUAAAGGCCCACCAAGGCGACGAUCCGUAGCUGGUCUGAGAGGAUGAUCAGCCACACUGGAACUGAGACACGGUCCAGACUCCUACGGGAGGCAGCAGUGGGGAAUAUUGGACAAUGGGCGCAAGCCUGAUCCAGCCAUACCGCGUGGGUGAAGAAGGCCUUCGGGAUGUAAAGCCCUUUUGUUGGGAAAGAAAAGCAGCAGGUUAAUACCCCGCUGUUCUGACGGUACCCAAAGAAUAAGCACCGGCUAACUUCGUG
rnacentral:rRNA from 1 species